ensembl:lncRNA
GCUCUUCGUCCUCCCGUGGUGUAUUUUCUGAAGCUAAGAAAGCGGUGUUUCUGCCUACUCCUGUCUUUCUGUAGUAGAAAGGCUGGCGGGCGCACUUGCCUCGGUUUACUCCGUCUUCAGUCACAUCCCCGACCAAAAGCGAGGUGGAAGUUUGAAGCAAGAAGAAUUCAAUCAGUAUAACUCAUUCUUGUAUUGGAGAGCACCAUUGCCUACAAUUGAUUUAUCUGAUAUUCAGAGCCUGCAUGGAGAGACUACAUCUGCCGAUAAAACUCCUUCAAGGACUGAUACCAUGGAGACUGAGAUGGAGACCUGAUCAGUUGGUUUAUAGUUGUACGUCUACUCGCAGGGAGCUCGUUUCUGUUUGGAUUCAGUUUUUCCUGCGUCGGAGAAAAAUCAACGUGCUUCUGUUUUUAUGAAGAAACAGUGUUAUAUCAAUCUGAAAAGGCAAGUCAGAGCUGUCAGGUUGGUGGAAUCAUCACUAUUAGAUACUGUUAGCUGGCUGGAGGUCUGAACUUACUGAUUAUGUGUGGAGGAGGCUUUGUCUAGCAUGAACGCCUGAAUUCAUGGAAGCAGGGCAGAAGAAAAUGACAGAAAAUUAGUUAACUUCCAGAUGUAAUUGUAGGAAACAGUUGGAUAAGUUACACGUGGAAAGGAAAUGGAAAAUUAUUUAGCCUGUCCUGAAGAAAAGGUGUAACUGUUGUACCAGAAUAUGAAAUUCUUUAUCAUAAAGCACAGAAACUAGUAUUUUUAGUAGGGUUUUUUUCAGUGUAAUAGCUAAGCCAAAAAAAACAAAAACAAAAAACAAACAAACAAAAAAAAAACCACCACGUAAGUCCACCAAAACCAGGCAAAACAUUCCCUUUUCUAUGCAAACCAAAAAUGAGUGUGUUGGGGAUGGGAAGGGAAAAGGGGAUCUAUUCUAUAAGCUGCCAGUGUUCUGAAUGAUUACAGUCUUCUUGUGAUCACUCAAAGCAGCUAGCUUUUACAUUUUUUUUUGUCUGUUCUUAAGUUAAUGAUUUUCUUAUUCUUUGUGAAAUUAAACUAGCUGGUAAUGUGGAAAUAGCAGCUGUGUGCAGGGUCAUGAAAGGUUAACGCAGUGUGAAUUGAGUACUUAGUUGACUGAGGUUUAGUUUUUUGCAGACAUUGUGGAUGUUGAAGAAACCUUUUUUUACAGAAGUUCAAUUAGUUAGUGGUUUUUUUUUUUUUUGCUAUGAAAUAUCAUUGUAAUGUGCUUUUUUGUAAUUUAUUUACAAGUUAAAAAUGCGAUUAGAAAUAUGUGUCUUCAGUAGUAGGUCGAAAUUUAAAGUUGUAUUGGCAGACUGUCAGACUUGCGAAUGUGACUUGUUUAUAGGUGAGUUUGUCAUUCAUAUUUUUGCCAGAAUCAUCUUAAAAUAAAGAAAAUUCUUUCUACUAACCUGUUUGUUGAAGGUCAAUCACCUGUGUGCAUUCGAAGGCCUUGGGACCAUUACUGUUCGAAGCUCCUGACUUCUCUUAAGAUGGUUUGGACAACUUAGUGGUUUUAUUUAUUAAGUGUCCCUGUUUGAAAAGAGACAACUUGUCCGCCUUCUUACUGAACAGUUCAAAACUUUUUUUCAGCAUCUGUACUGCAAAAUAUUUGUGUUGACAGGGUCCCCUAGUGCCUGCAGAAGAGAUGAAGAGGCUUACUGAAUUGGACGUUUCGUGGUGCUUGUUCAGAUAUGCUUCUAAUUGCUGCCACAUUAGCAAGAUGCUCAUUUAAAGCAAUAUUCAUAUUAAGCAUGCAUUUUAAUAUUGUAUUAAGUGCAAAUCUAGUUCUCUUAGGAGAUCCUUUAAACAUACCUUUAAAAACUGCUAGAUUUCUGUCAAGAAUGCAACCACUAUUGUUUACUGUUACCAAAGUAAAUUAGAAAGAUGAUAGAUUUGUGUUUUUUUCCUUUUUUUUCUUUUUUUUUAAGAACACUUAAUAUACUGCCUUCCUAUAUUUGCAAUCUAUCUAAUAAUUCACACCAUUCAGUAUUUCUCAGGAUCCACUAUUUUACAUUAUUACUUAGUAUUUUUGCAGGUACCUGUAGCUCACCCUGAAAGUAGUGUCUCCUGCUUAUUUCUGUGGAAACAGCAGAUUUCAGCCGUAAGCAAGAGUCUUCAUGCCAUGCUUAUAAAAACCCACAUGGCCCUCUGGAAUGUGGCUUGUCUUUCAUGUCACUGUCACCACUGCUGAAAGACACUGCCCACCACCUCACUGUUUUCACAUCCACUGUUUGGUCUCCAUCAGUGUUCAGCAAGUGUCAGUGAAUGACAGUGGGCCAUUUUUUUCUGCAUGGAGGAAUUAAAUCACAGAAUCAUAGGGUUUGGAAGCUCAUUUAGUCCAACCCCGUGCUAAAGCAGAUCCUGUAGGUUGCACAGGGAAGCAUGAGCAAACAACCUCCUGUGAGUGCUUGGAAUGAAAGGCAAGCCUGACACAGAGAUUGCUGCCAAUUUGUAUUGCACCCAAAUCAGAACAGGCAAAAAAUGUCUUUUAAGUUUCUGAAAAUAUAAAUAGUUCAUAGAACGUGGAUUAUUGUGGACACUAUAAACGUGCAAUUUUUAUUUUCCCAAAUAUAUCACCGUAUGAAUGAAAAUCUUUGAAUGAUGAGGGGAGAUGGAGGCCAAGGCUGGUGCCUGAAUAUGUGCAGCGCUGGUCUGGGAGGUCACCAACCAACAGGUUGUGAUGUUAGUGAGGGAUGACUGUGACCUUGCUGAUCCUCACGUUGUAAAUCCUGGUGCUGGCCAAGCCCAGUGGGGACUAGUGUCUGCACUCCAGUCAAGCAGACUGUGAGACUUGGUCCAGUGAACAAAGCUUUGGUUGGGUUGUGCUGUGGGACUCCUGGCAGCAGUUGUUGGUGUCCAUCCCGUAGCAUCAGCAGCAUUUCCCUGGUCCUGCCUAGCUCAGGCAGCUGGGACCCUGCAGGGUUGCACUUGCAGCAGUGGAGGUGAGUGGUAUGGGGACAUGGCCCCCAGGGUGGUUAGUGUGGAGCAGGAGCUGGGAGGGUUUGCUGCUGAGAAAUUGGGGUGUCACUGCUGCCUGCUUUGAAGACAUGGUGUGAUGACAGCCUCUCUUGCAGUUUGUGACAGCUCUUGCCUGUUGCAGCACCAGGAGCAGCUUCCUCACUUCAGCUCUCCCCAUCCUGCUGCACAGCCCAAGGCCUUGAAGGUGGCAUCUGAUUGGACCUGUCAGUGGGCACAGUUGGGAUGAUGUCACCUGCAUGACCCUGUUUCCAACAGCUUUGCUGUGGCUGUGUUCUGGUGGGAAAAGAAAUUGAGUUGUACUGUAUGCAGGCACCAGAUGAGGACCACCGAUACUCAAUGAAGUGGUACAAUGAUUACCCUUAGUGUCCUGUCAUGCAGCCCACAGCACACUCAGAUUCUGGCCUGCAGGAUGAGCAGGGGUCCGCAGAGCUGGUGUCUGUUGCUUCUUAGCACAGCUUACCACCUGAGGUUUGGGCUGCCUUUUUCCAACAACAUCCAGAAGACCUUCGACCCCUGCUCCAGUGGCUUCACCAAGAGACUGAGAGAAUCUGCAGCAACAGAUGAUGGGAGGUACUUGCAGGACAGUGCAGUGUCAGCUUCCUGCAUACAAGCUCAACCAGACGGCCUUAUGGGUGCUGCCGCCAUUCAUCCAAGACCUCAUGGUGCCCUCUUUGAGGAGGCUCAUCACUGCUAUAUAGGCCUAUAUGGCCCAGACAUCCAUGGUUGGCAGGACUGCUGGGAUGCCCGUGCUGAGGAGGGCAGGAGGACAGCUCCACAGCCACCCCCGGCCCCUCCACCUUCCAUCACAGACCUUCUGCCUCUGGCCCAGGACAUUCUGCCAGUCCUGCAGGCCCCAGUGCCGAGGGGUUCCCCAGAAUCCUUUGUGGGCAUGCAAGGCGCGCCACCACCACCGCUGUGUCCUCAGAGGAGGAGCUGCAGGAAGAGCUGGGGCAGUUGCCAGCAGCGGGCCCCUCCAUCCAGGGCAGACCACUUGUUUGGCGGUCCUGGUGCCAUCAAAGAGGCACACAGAGGCAAAGAGGCAAAGAGGCUUCGCCCACAGCAGCACCCAGAACUUGCUCCCACGCUGCAAGAGGUCUCAUGGAGCUGGGAGGAGAACAUCUGUCUCUCAGUCUGCUACUAAGAGAAAAAAAAAAAUAAUUUUAAGCUAAAGAAAGAAAGCGUCUCUGUAAGUGACAAGUUAGGACUGGUUUCUCUUCUUGUGCUGGUUUCUCCUCCUGAUCCUGAGGGAGGACAUAGAAUCACAAGUUUAUUUCUAUGAUCAGAAAUCAGCACUCAAAACUGUGCUAAAGAAACAAGAGCAGGCCCCAGUAAACAAAAGAUGGACCUCC